UCCUCUGCUUUGGGCUGAGCAAACCCAGGAACCUCAGCCACUCCUCAUAGAUCUUGCUCUCCAGACCCUUUGCCAUCUUUGUAGCUCUCCUUUGGACACUCCGUCAUAGUUUGUCCUUCUUAUAUUGUUGCACCCAGAACUGCACCGAUUGCUCGAGGUGAGGCCGCACAGCACCAAUCAGAGGGGACAAUCUCUUCCCUCGCACAGAUCCAGCUUGCUGUCAGCCAGAACCUUCAGAUCCCUUUCUGCAGGGCUGCUCUCCAAAGAAGUAGAUAAUGUGGAAAUGGCAAGACCUUGUCACCACUUCUCAUUGCUCUUAUUCUUUCUGUAUGUGUGAUGGGGCAUGGUCUCAUGAUUUCUCUCCCCCAGAUGCCAUGUAACUUAAAUGAGCUAAAGUUAGUCCUUGCUGGGUACCAAUUUGCCAACCUAUGAAUUAUGCCAAGUUUUGUGAUGUGGUUGUGCAAUGUUGAGGAUCUCAAAGGAUUUCCUCCUACACAGCCCUGACCUUUCAAGAGUUUUUUGAAGAGAGAGAAAUUCAAUUUGAAUUCUUCAGCAUCCUAGAAUAAAAAAUCCAUCUUUCCCCACCAAAAGCACUGGAGGAUGAUGAAAGGAUCACUUAGGCUGAAACUCUUGGGCCAGUACUGAUUUUAAACUUACCUCCGGUCUUUGAUUGUUAUUGCCUGCAAAAUAGGGCCAAUGCGAUAGGACAUGGAGCAAUACAAUUGCUGAUUUAAAUAGCAUUACUCCACUGUUUUUUAGGGUCUGGCUUAAACUUGAAGUACUUAAAGGUGUUUUAAAAUCAGACACUCUUCUUUAUGCUCCUUUUUUUAUUCUCUGCCUCAUACACACCAUAUUUAAAGGUAUCUGACUUGUUAUAAUACGGAGAGAAAAUAUUAAUUCGUUAAGUCAAAUGUUCAUGAUUCCCAGAGAAGUCACCUGAAGAUCAUUUCUAAUGGUGAAUUCGCUGAGGUUCUUCUGGACAAAAUGUAUAACUGAAAAUCUGUGACACAGGAUUUGUGAUAAGAGGUGAGUCAUCCCCUUUCCCUCCUGUCACACUCCUGGAGUUAAACACCCGUCACAUGAGGGCUUGUUUUCCAUUGACUUCAUCAGCAGCUGCUGCAAAUCUCUGGGCCAAACUAUCCAGAAAAAAAUCCAGAGCAUUUCUAGGAGGGCUGUGAUAAGGCUCUGUGAUAAGGCAGGGGAUUAGAGGACCUUGCUCUUUUCUUGGAGAGCACCAGACAGCUCUUCAAAGUCAAGAGCACUGCACUGAUUAACACUGGUGCAACAGCCAGAGUGCCUUACAGGGGGAUUUUCCAUUUGAUUUAAACUAGGAAGGUAAACUAAUUACGUGAACGAAUGUUUCCGGCCAGGCAGUAUCAACCAUCUAAAUGCAUUUAGCCAAUGAACUAUUAAGUAUAGUAUAUCUUUAGCAUCACAGGAGACAGUAACUUACCCUGGUGGCAGCUAAUCACUGCUGCCUCGCUCUGCCUGCAGCCCUUUGGAGUUCCACCCACUCAUCAACAGGCCAUUCGCGCUCAGUCAUGCACGCAGCCAUCUCCAAAUAGACAUGGGCCUGCUAAUUACCACUUCUGCCCUCACUUAUGCUGCUGUUUGGAGUAAGAUUCAAUCCUAAAAUGGAUCUCAGCAGUACAAGAAGCCUGUCUCACACUCCCUCUCAUUUAAUGUGGUAACACCGAUUCUAAUCUACACUGAGGUUCAGCCAUUCAUUUGGUGCAGGCAGUAACCUUGUCUUUGUGAGCUCUGCUCACCGUAAUGUUACCGUCUGCACCACUGUUGCAUUAACAAUAAUUUCUAGUUUUAAAAAGACAAUGCAAAAAGGGUAUGGAUUUUUAUUAAGCAAUGAAGUGUCUUAUGAAAACAACUUGCACCUGCAGAGAUAGUCGUAGAAUCAUCAGACUGCUUGGAUUGGAAGGAAUUUCAAAGACCCUCUGGUUCCAACCCCUGUUCUGCAGGUAGAGUUGCCAACUUUUCAAAAAUUUACAUUAAAUUCUUAAAAUCUUAAAUUUGUAGGUAAGCCUUCUGGGAUGGCAUGAGGGAGAGAAGAUACAAUUUAUCAGAAGAGCUUUAAAUAAAAUCUUCCUUCUUAUAUUCAAGCAGCUCUCUUCUUCCCUCUCAGCCCAUGACCCAAGCCCUCUUUUCUCAGGGCUGAGAGGAAUUUUCUGAACUUUUUAUAGAAUCAUAGAAUCAUUAAGUCUGGAAAGGACCUCCAAGAUCAUCUAGUCCAACCAUCAAGCCACCACCACCCUGCCCACCAACUCAUGUGCCCCAGUGCCACACCUCCACAGUUCCUGAACACCUCCAGGGAUGGUGACUCUACCACCUCCCUGGGCAGGCUGUUCCAAUGCAUUACCACUCUGUCUGAGAAUAUAUCUUUGUUAUCCUUUAUUUUAGGUCAGGGUACAGUUUUAGUGCAGGACUGACCAUCCUGUCCCUGAUAGGCAGCUACAGGUCAGCAUCUGUUCCUCAUUGUGCUUCUUUGGACCUUGGCAUCUUUUCCUGCAAUUCCUAAAGACCAUUGGUGACAAUGAUAGCAGUGUUGUGGAAGUGUUCUUAAAUAUUUGGAAUUCUUUCAAAGUUACGCUUAGGUGUUUCUAUUAAUGUGAUCCUGGCUUUUUGCUUGGGUUUGUCUAUACAGGGACAAUCAAGAAAGUUGAUUUAAAUUAACUGAGGGCAGGAGUUUAAAGUGAAUUAGUUAAAUUGCAUUAAACCUCCCAUUUCACAAUUAAAGUGGCCUUAAUAUGACUUAGCCAUGAAAGAGAGGUAAACCAAAUCAAGUCAAAGCCACUUUAAUUCUGACAGUUCCCAUAAAGGGCUGUAAUUAAUCCAGUUUAACUAAUCCCCUUAAAAAUUCAGAUCAACUUUUCUGAGCACCUUCAUGUAAUAAGCUCUUACCACUAAUCUGCACUGAAAUGAUCAUUUUCAUUCAUAAAGUAAAUUCACACCAGCCUUCCUCUGGUGGAAGUCCCAUUGCUGAGGUUUGCACUUGGAUAACAUCAUCAACUGGAAGAGUUGCGUGACUAUAAAUCCAGACCAACUUAACACUUUGUUAAGCCUACCAGCUCCCAGCAACUGUGCUUUCAUAGCACCACACACACACACACACAAAAGACCGCGUCAUUAAUUCCUGUUGGAGAGGAGGACUACGAAGAUGAUCAGAGGGCUGGAACGUCUCUCCUGUGAAGAAACGUUGAGGGAGCUGGGCUUGUUUAACUUGGAGAAGACUGCAGGGAGACCUCAUUGUGGCCUUCCAGUACUUGAAAGGAACUUAUAAGCAGAAAGGAAACUAUUUACAUGUUUUGAUAGUGAUAGGACAAGGUAGAAUGGCUUUAAAAUAAAAGGGGAAAUUUAGGUUAUAUUUUAAGAAAAAAGCCUUUAUUCAGAGGGUAGUGAGGCCCUGGCACAGGCUGCCCAGAGAAACUGUGGAUGCCCCAUCCCUGGAGGUGUUUAAGGCCAGGUUGGAUGGGGCCUGGGACAACCUGAUCUGCUGAGUGGCAACAGUGCCCAUGGUAGGGGGAUUGGAGCUCGAUAGUUUUUAAAGUCCCCUCCAACCUAAGUCAUUCUAUGAUUCUGUGAUUCAAGGAAAAGGAAGAGACAGUGAUGAUGUGCAGUCUCAUGUGUUUCCAUUGGUUAGCACAGAGGUCAGCUAUGGUGGUAAGUAACUGGCAAAAUUUGCAGUGUGCCCUACUGAGGCCCUCUGCACGCAGGCAGGCUAUGAUCAGUCUGUAGUCUGGUUUAGGUGGGAUGAGAACUACACUAGCACAAAAUUGAUUUGCCUGAAUGGGCCUUCACGUGGCAUUAGGACAGAUAGUGAUUUAUUAUCAUUAUCAUGAUUGUUAUUUUUACAUAAACCUAUUAUUUGGCAAGUGUCAGUUCUGACUGGUGUCGCAGCAAAGGACAUAGCUUACAAACAACAAAAAUCAUGGAUAACAUUGUUUGAGAAAAAAAAAAAUAGAAAAAAAAGAAAAAGAAGACUAUUUCACCCAAAUCAGACAUUUAGUCAGUUUGAAAUAUAUCUCAUCAGCGUGCACAUCAAUCUGGCCCAUUAAAUAGUGUGCCCUUCAAUAAUUCCCUCUGCCUUUAUGAACAAUUCCCUCUGCAGCUCAAAUGCUUGAAUAAGGUAUUGCAGCCUCCUUUGCAGCAUGAAUAGGGGUGUUUGACUUUCUCACUUAUGUGCAUGUCCUUCAGCAGGGGGUUCCUUGAGGCACAUAGUGUUCCUUGGCUGGUUACCCUCCUUCUCUGUGCAUCUGCCCGGACAGGGAGAGCCAAAUGCACUUUCCACCAGUUUUUGUUUUUUUUUUUUAAUUUUUUCCAAAACUUGCCUGUCUGCCAGCUUGAAACAUCAUCUUUCCUUUAUUUCUAUUUUAUUUGUUUAUUUUUUGAAGAAUAAACUGGCUAUUCCGAAGUGCCCUUCUCAGUAAAUAACACACGCAACUGCAACAUGCGCUAGCAGCGCUGAACGCAAAUAAAAUAUUCCCAGUGAAAAAAAAAAUGUGUCAGCAUCACCUCCAGUGGAUCAAAAGUCAUGUCAGAGACGAUAUCAGAACAUGAGAAUCUGCUUGCAUAAAACAGCCAAAAGCCUGAAGCCAUCCCAACCUCCUUUAGAAAAGCCAGGAGUCUGCACAGGCAGAGCUGCCGCACAGCAGUGAUGGAUUAAGAGGCAGUGUGUAAUUUCCAGCCAAACUCCUUCAGCUCCUGCCAUCUUCACCUGGAGUUGUUUUCAAACUGUGAAAAGUUUAACUUCAACAUCAUGCUGAAAAUCCUGUGUGACUCAGAGAGUCAGCUCCCAUCAGGUGGAGUUUCCUUUAGGGCAGCAGAAGCAGGAGACAUCCUAUCCUGGCCAGCAACGUAAAUUGGAAGGGAACUUUCUGCACAGAUUUUGCAGGAAACCUAGAUUCAUGGAAUUAAGUAGGUGCAAGGAGAUCAAGAUCAGAGUGAUCUGAGACAUCUGCCUUCAUAUCUCUUCUUGAUCACAGAAAUUUAAAGCGAGCCCAGAGCAUGGGUUAUGAAGAUGCUGGAAAUGAGAUGUUGGAAAUCAAUCCACUUUGAGAUCUAGCAGGAUAUUUUGCUGGAGUGACAAGGCCCUUUCAAAAGCACACACCGCCUCAUGGCUUUAGGAUACUGGAAUAUGAAUAUAUGGUAUGCCAAUGUGUAGUGAUUUCCUACCCAAACAUAAACCAAGAAAAAAUGGCUUCUUGGACUGGACCCAAAGACUGAAUCUGUGCAGGCAGAAUGGGCGGAAAGGACAAAGGUAAGAGUGUAAGUAUGGGUGUGA